UCGGGAAUUUUGGGCAAUGGGCGCAAGCCUGAUCCAGCCAUGCCGCGUGAGGGAAGAAGGCCUUCGGGUUGUAAACCUCUUUCGGGCGGGACGAAACGGGGCGCACGAAUAGUGCGUCUUACUGACGGUACCGCAAGAAGAAGCACCGGCUAACUACGUGCCAGCAGCCGCGGUAAUACGUAGGGUGCGAGCGUUAAUCGGAAUUACUGGGCGUAAAGCGUGCGCAGGUGGCUGUGCAAGCCAGGCGUGAAAUCCCCGGGCUCAACCUGGGAAUGGCGCUUGGGACUGCACGGCUAGAGUGCGGCAGAGGGAGCUGGAAUUCUUGGUGUAGCGGUGAAAUGCGUAGAUAUCAAGAGGAACACCUGAGGUGAAGACGGGUUGCUGGGCUGACACUGACGCUGAGGCGCGAAAGCCAGGGGAGCAAACGGGAUUAGAUACCCCUGUAGUCCCUGAGCGGGCUGGCAAGGCGCAU
rnacentral:rRNA from 1 species